GUGCCAGCAGCCGCGGUAAUACAGAGGGUGCGAGCGUUAAUCGGAAUUACUGGGCGUAAAGGGUGCGUAGGUGGUUAAUGAAGUCAGGUGUGAAAUUCCCGAGCUCAACUUGGGGACUGCGCCUGAUACUGGUUAGCUAGAGUCCUGUAGAGGGAAGUGGAAUUUCCGGUGUAGCGGUGAAAUGCGUAGAUAUCGGAAGGAACAUCGGUGGCGAAGGCGACUUUCUGGACAGAGACUGACACUGAGGCACGAAAGCAUGGGGAGCAAACAGGAUUAGAUACCCUGGUAGUCC
rnacentral:rRNA from 1 species